CAAUCAUGACCUUAAUAUUGUUUAAAUUACUUUUUUUACCACGUUGAAAAACUAAAAAAUGAAAAUAUUAAACAUAUUGUAAAAAACAAAUAACCCCGCAAAUGGCAAAUACAACAAUAUCUAAAACUGGAUACGAGAAAUUAAGUAGACUUAUAAACCACAAUUCAAACAAACAGCAAAAUAAUA
rnacentral:misc_RNA from 1 species